rnacentral:lncRNA from 1 species
CCUCACUUCCUCUUGUAUGUAAUUUUGUAUAACCCUGAGGGUCUCCUUCCAUUUCCAUGCAAUUUCCCUUCUCUCUCCCUUUCCCUCCCACCUCUCAUCCCUGUUUAAUGUUAAUCUUCUUCUCCUGCUCUUCCUCCCUACUCUGUUCUUAGUUACUCUCCUUAUAUCAAAGAAGACAUUUGGCAUUUGUUUUUUAGGGAUUGGCUAGCUUCACUUAGCAUAAUCUGCUCUAAUGCCAUCCAUUUCCC